CAGCAGCCGCGGUAAUACGGAGGGUGCAUGCGUUAAUCGGAAUUACUGGGCGUAAAGCGCACGCAGGCGGUUUGUUAAGUCAGAUGUGAAAUCCCCGAGCUUAACUUGGGAACUGCAUUUGAAACUGGCAAGCUAGAGUCUUGUAGAGGGGGGUAGAAUUCCAGGUGUAGCGGUGAAAUGCGUAGAGAUCUGGAGGAAUACUGGUGGCGAAGGCGGCCCCCUGGACAAAGACUGACGCUCAGGUGCGAAAGCGUGGGGAGCAAACAGGAUUAGAUACCCGAGUAGUCCCUGUCUCUUAUAC
rnacentral:rRNA from 1 species